GGCUUGGUGAUUUUAACACAAAGACAGACCAAGAUCUCUGCUCACAAGAAAUUUACAGUCACUUUUCCAAACCCUAGAUUUCCAAGGGACACAUUUUGAAAACCCCAGCUACAGAAGAAGAAAGAGCAUGGGCACUGACCGAUGUCAGAUUCAGUCUGAGUUUCUGCCACUGAGCAGCAGCGAGCUCCUGGACUCAAAGGAUUAAGGGAGGCUGUAAUAUUUACUUCACAGGAUUGUGAUGAAUGGAGAGAAAGGAGAAGGCAUUGCCCCAGAAUUGUCCCAAGUUCCAGCUACUUGACCGAAGGAUGGUACUGUAGGAAUGGCACGUGAGCGCAGGAGCUCUCAACACCAACCUGAAAGUGAAAGGUUGGUAAGAACACAAGUUUCCAACAUACACAGGCCUUACUGGAACCAGACAUGUCAGGCCCUCAAGGCCAUGCUCUAAUGUCACUGGAGGAGGUCACCCCUCAGAUUGAAUUCUGACUGUCCAAUUCAUCUCUAAAUUUUGACUCCUGGUUUCAAAAAAGGGGUGAAGGGCUGCUUUCUCUAAGACAAGAAUCUACCACAAUCUGCCAUGGCUGUGACCUUGAUCCCAGUGGCCUCCCUUCUCUCUGAGAGCUUACAGGGGCCAUGUGGAGAUGAGGAAUGGCCUCCUGAGGAGAAGGCAUUCAGAGGUAGAGGCUCAAGCAGCAAUGAUGGAUUACACUUGGUCAGCCCAUUUUGCUAGACCAGAGUGAAGCUAUGAAAAGAUACAUAUAGUUCUUAAUCCCUUAUCUGCAAGCCUUGGGGCCACACAGAUUUCAGAUUUCAGGUUUUUUUUUUUUUUUUCACAUUUUAGGAAAAGAUGCAUAUGCACAUCAUGUACAUUCCCAAAAAUCAGAGUAACAUUCCAUAUACAAAGUCAUUAAUGUCUGAACCACUGUACUCACUCUAAGGGUGAUGAAGAUGUUGCAAUAGACUCAUAUCAUUAUCAGUUCAGGUUUCACCCCAAAACGAAUCAGGUCAGGGUAGUUUCACUGGCAAAUGAUGUUAUUAAAACAAAACAUAAAACAAAGAAAAAAGCACACCACCUUCACAAACUCUUCUUGGUUUUUGGAGCUUGCUAGAUUGCAGAAUUGUGGAGAAAAGAUCAUGGGCCUGUAUUGCCAAAUAAAGCUAUGAAUUGAUUACCA